CUCAGGGAUCCUCAAUAAGCCUAUUGCUAUAAGCAAGCCAAAAACCUUAGCAUUCUUUGACAAAACACUGUUAAGACUAUCUUAAGAAACAAAGAGGAGGGAGGGCUAUCCGCAACAGCUAGAGAGUUAGCUCAGCACAGGCUGAGAGUUGUUAACAGUGCAGGCUGCUUUUGCAGAGGAACUAGGUUCAACUCCCAACACCCACAUGGCAGCUCUAAUUCCAGUCCAAGGGGAGCCAAUACUUUCUUCUGCUCAUAUAUACAUGAGCAAAAUGCUCAUACACAUAAGAUAAUUAAAUAAAUCAAAAAAUAACUAAAAAAAAAGGAACAAAGAGAAAUUUGUUCCUCCUGCAGAAGCCAAGGAUAGACUUUGCUCAUCUUCAUCCAGGUCCAAAUGAUACCACGAGAUUUGUCUUGUGUCCAUCUCACUGCUCUACAAUCUUCUGUGAUGGUGAAAUUCUCAGGUUCCUCUUGUGCCCUGAUGACAUCACAGAACACGGUAUCACAAACUGCGCCCUUCAAAUUACAAGUCUAUUUUGACCAAGACGUCUCUCCCUCCGUCCUGCCGUUUUCUUGUUCACUGUCCACGACUUGGUGUUUUCAGCUCGAGGUUGCACAUGCCACUCGAGAUUCGGUAAAGCCCUUUUCUCUGCUUCCUCUGGACAUUUUCUGUUCUUUGCAUUGUAAGGCAAAUGUCUCCCUUUCAGGGUACUCUGCCAUAACUUAGAAGCCAUCUGUCCCUGCCAGUACAGCAUGUGGAGUGGACAUCUGGCAGACUUUCUUCUCCUGUGACUUUUAUAGAGUAUCUGUCCUAGUAGACAAUGUAUUUGACAACUAAGGUUCAUAUCCUUAUUUAAUUGUCUCCAUGCCUGUGAUACAGGCAUCUUGGUACCACUUUAAAGGCUAAGUGGGAGGUUAGUGGGUGACGUGUUAUUAAAUGUCCUUGUGUGAGCUGUUAUAAGCCUGUUCAGCAUUCUCAUUUCCCUAUGUUCAAAUUCAACCUUCUUUCCUUCCUCUUGGUACUCUAGACUUCCUGCCAAUUAUACUUAUAAUCUAGCCCUUAUAAGUGAUCUUUAUAUUUCCCUCAUCUUUUAUUUAACCCCAAACAUUUCUCCACUAGCUUCCAGCUCCUUUGCUCCCAUCUCAAUUCUCACUCUAACUCCUUUCUCCCUUCCCCUUCUCCUUCC
rnacentral:lncRNA from 1 species